CACGGAGGGUGCGAGCGUUGUCCGGAAUCACUGGGCGUAAAGGGCGCGUAGGCGGCGCGGAUAGUCGGCGGUGAAAGCCCGGAGCUCAACUCCGGGUCGGCCGUCGAUACUUCCGGGCUUGAGCACUGUAGAGGCAGAUGGAAUUCCGGGUGUAGCGGUGGAAUGCGUAGAGAUCCGGAAGAACACCGGUGGCGAAGGCGGUCUGCUGGGCAGUUGCUGACGCUGAUGCGCGACAGCGUGGGGGAGCAAACGAGGAUUAGAAAACCCGGGGUAGUUC
rnacentral:rRNA from 1 species